AAAAUGGCGACGGGCAGGGAGCCACGGAAUCACGCAGACAGAAAGAGAACAGUCGGCGUCAACGAGCACCAAACCGAGCCACCCUGCUGCCCAAUAGAGCAAAGCAGUUGUGACAAAUAACACCACAAACAGAUGGCACCUGAGACAGGAAAUACAAAGCUGCCAAGAAAACCCACCAAAAAAUGCCAGGCAUUGAACGAGCCCUUCAAAGACAAUAAACGCUGCAGACCGCGGUCAUAUCACUAUCAUGGAGCCAGCCAGACGUUCUGCUGCCUCCCCUUACGAAACUUGACAACGAGCCAAGUUUGACGACUGACGGAUUACAGUAACCCAAAAAGCAACAGGAUCAAAGAAACGAAUACGAUGAGAUUGCCUCCUCUCACUCUUGCUUCAUAUCACCGUGGCCUGAAUCACUCCGACUACAUUUCUAGCCAGGGAUGGGAAGUGAGGAAGUCUCCCACUGGUGCCCACUUCUCUGCAUAUUAUGCUCUUGGUUGUCAUCUCCCAAUGCUGCUGCCUGGCUUUUCGGAGAUGUGAAAGCUGGUUCAGUGAUGGCACCAAGCAUUCUUUGGGGGACGAGCAGGAUGCAGCACUGCACUCACUUCCAGUUCUACCAUACCACACAGUAAGCCAUUCUCAACAGGUUUCCACGAGGUUCUACAUGUCCAGUGAUGGAACAGCAGUAGAACUUGCUGUUGAACAUACUGUACGUAACAGUAUUAAAGUCAGUGAU